rnacentral:rRNA from 1 species
UACGGAGGGUGCAAGCGUUAUCCGGAUUCACUGGGUUUAAAGGGUGUGUAGGCGGGUAUUUAAGUCAGUGGUGAAAUCUCCAGGCUCAACCUGGAAACUGCCAUUGAUACUAUUUAUCUUGAAUAUCGUUGAGGUAGGCGGAAUAUAUCAUGUAGCGGUGAAAUGCUUAGAUAUGAUAUAGAACACCGAUUGCGAAGGCAGCUUGCUAAACGAUGAUUGACGCUGAGGCACGAAAGCGUGGGGAUCAAACAGG